UUCUCUGUCGGUGUCUCUCAGUGAACUCUUCUUCCUCGAUGUACAUCAUGAUUCAAGUUUGUUUGGAAGAUCCUUAUUUGAAAUCCAGACCAAAAGAGGAGAUUUUGUGUUUAUCAAAACAAUUCACUCUAUUCUAAGAGCCAAAUCGAUAUAAUCGAAAUAAAGUCAUGUUCAUAUACCUAUCUUCUCUAAUUGUAGAUCGACCAUCACCUGAGGAUAUUUCAAUGGCUUUGGUUGAAAAUUAGUUUUUGUAGACAUGUGAAUGGAGAUUCCCUUCAAACCUGCUCGGCUGAUUCUACAGGGCUCAACUGGUGUCCCUGCAGUUGUGUAAAUAGUUUGCAUGAGAGUAGCCACGGAUAAUGUCAAUGUUGAUUCUACUGCGUUCAAUCCCUUGGUUAGUGAACUUCAAGCUAUUCAUACUGAGAUUGAUUGAUAUUAUAUUUAUUUUAAAUUGGGGAUAUGUUUGUUUCAUGUAUGUAAACUAUGAUUCCGCUGUCAUGGAGAAUCUUCAAUAUUCAUGGAUUCAACUAUGGUCAAAAGCAAGAAAUAUAUUUAACCAUCAAAUGCCGUGAACAGAGGUAAAUGAUAUUCUAUAGUCCAGUAUAUGGCUGUGAUGAAACAUAGUGCAUGCGUAAAUGGAGUAAUACGUAUGGCAAAUUGGAGAGGAGAGUACUCAGGUAUUACGUACUUGUUAGUUUUAAUCCAUGUUCUAAAACGCGCCGUCGAGGACCGUAAAGUCGCCGAAAAAUCGUUAUCCGGCCAUCAACCGUGGCGAACUAAAGAAAUUCGCUGGAAAACUCGGAUCUCACAAAAAAUCUUAAGUUAUUGCUUGUUUCGGCCUAAGAAUCGACUAAUAUACA